AACAACUAGACAGGAGAUGAAUAAGGAAAAGGAAGACUUGAACGACAUGAUAAACUGGACCUGACAGGCAUCUCUAGAACAUUCCACCCGACAACAGCAAUGUACACAUUCUUCUCAGGUGCACAUGGCACAUUCUCUAAGACAGACCAUAGCCUUGGGCACAAAGUGAUCUUCUGGACAUUUGAAAUUAUGUAAAAUAUGUUCUUCAGUCACAGUGGAAUGAAACUAGAAAUCAGUAACAAAGAACUUCAUGAAUUAAGCAGCAUGCUACUGACCAACUAGUGAGUCCAAGGAGAAAUCCAACAGGAAAAGGGAAAAUACUCUGAGUUGAAGGAAAACUGAAACAUGGCAAGGAAGUUCUUAUGGGAGGUGACUCUCCUGGAAGCCCCAAAUGUGGAAUUGACCCUAAACUGAAAAGAAGAUCUUUUUAGGGCAAGAGCUUUGUUCUUGUGAAUUUUCUGCCUCACCAACCGUGGGGAAUGUGAGCCGGAGGAAAAGUCUGUUGAAGCGGCUGCUCAUUCAUUUCAAGGGGCCGAGGAGCCGUUUUGAGGGAGAAAAGUCUCCUCAUUCUUUUGGCCUUUUGAUCCACUCAGGGUCCACGGCAGGAAGACGCACAGGAAUCACUCUGAUCUCCGGGCCCUCCCACCGGCUGCUGAUGGGCGGAAGGGACCGGAAUUAAGCACAAGGAAAUAGAAGCCUUAACUCUAA